AUUGCAGGAAAUGUCUCCGCUUUGCCACCACUGAGGUCUGUAAAACUUACUCCCCUAAGGACAGAGGAAAUCAUUGGUGCACUACUCGUACCCAGGUCAACUGAGCUUGAAGUCAUAAGAUAACAUUCUGUGAGGAACAGGGUGAAAAAGGAGAGGUGAGGACCACUCUGCGCUCCUGAAAGAGAGGAAGCUCGCUGAGAGCGGCACGCUUCACUACAGAAACACCUGUUUUGUUAGCUCACUACGCCACUUACCCUCACCCUCAGGGAUGUGCCACAGGGAGGGAGGGGACUGGGGAGACACAAAGCAAACAAUAUCUCCGAGAUCCAUGUCAUCUGGAGGAGAAAACAGAUCCGCCACCAUCUCUAAAAUA